rnacentral:rRNA from 1 species
UGAGGACAACCCUUAAACGGCCGCGAUAAUCCGUGCGAAGGUAGCAUAAUCACUUGUCUCCUAAAUAGAGACCUGUAUGAAUGGCCACAUGAGAAAGAAACUGUCUCUUAAAGAUAACCAAUGAAACUGAUCUGUCUGUACAAAAGCAGACAUAAUGAAGCAAGACAAAAAGACCCUGUGAAACUUUUAACCUUAUGUCAACCCACAUAUGACACUACCUUUAAGUUGGGGCAACUAUAGAGAAACAAAACCUCUACCAAAUAAUUAGACUAACCAGUCCAAUUAAAUCUCCACAUGACCCAGUAAUACUGAUCAAUGGACCAAGCUACUCCAGGGAUAACAGCGC